UGGAUCAUCUACCUUCAGGUGGGGGAUAACCCGGGGAAACUCGGGCUAAUACCGCAUAACAUCGCGAGAUCAAAGGGGCGCAAGUCCCGCCAGAAGAGGAGUCCGCGUUCGAUUAGCUAGUUGGUAGGGUAAUGGCCUACCAAGGCCACGAUCGAUAGCCGGCCUGAGAGGGUGAUCGGCCACACUGGAACUGAGACACGGUCCAGACUCCUACGGGAGGCAG
rnacentral:rRNA from 1 species